AACGAACGCUGGCGGCAUGCCUAAUACAUGCAAGUCGAACGAGACCUUCGGGUCUAGUGGCGCACGGGUGCGUAACGCGUGGGAAUCUGCCCUUGGGUUCGGAAUAACAGUUGGAAACGACUGCUAAUACCGGAUGAUGACGUAAGUCCAAAGAUUUAUCGCCCAGGGAUGAGCCCGCGUAGGAUUAGCUAGUUGGUAGGGUAAAGGCUUACCAAGGCGACGAUCCUUAGCUGGUCUGAGAGGAUGAUCAGCCACACUGGGACUGAGACACGGCCCAGACUCCUACGGGAGGCAGCAGUAGGGAAUAUUGGACAAUGGGGGCAACCCUGAUCCAGCAAUGCCGCGUGAGUGAUGAAGGCCUUAGGGUUGUAAAGCUCUUUUACCCGGGAUGAUAAUGACAGUACCGGGAGAAUAAGCCCCGGCUAACUCCGUGCCAGCCGCCGCGGUAAAAC
rnacentral:rRNA from 1 species